CGCCGACUUUACCAAGCUUGGCA
rnacentral:miRNA from 1 species